rnacentral:rRNA from 1 species
UACGUAGGCAGCGAGCGUUGUUCGGAGUUACUGGGCGUAAAGGGUGUGUAGGCGGUUGUUUAAGUUUGGUGUGAAAUCUCCCGGCUCAACUGGGAGGGUGCGCCGAAUACUGAAUGACUUGGAGUGCGGGAGAGGUGAGUGGAAUUCCUGGUGUAGCGGUGAAAUGCGUAGAUAUCAGGAGGAACACCGAUGGUGUAGACGGCUCACUGGACCGUAACUGACGCUGAGACACGAAAGCGUGGGUAGCAAACAGG